UACGUAGGGGGCUAGCGUUGUCCGGAAUCAUUGGGCGUAAAGCGCGUGUAGGCGGUCCGGUAAGUCCGCUGUGAAAGUCGAGGGCUCAACCCUCGAAUGCCGGUGGAUACUGUCGGGCUAGAGUACGGAAGAGGCGAGUGGAAUUCCUGGUGUAGCGGUGAAAUGCGCAGAUAUCAGGAGGAACACCAAUUGCGAAGGCAGCUCGCUGGGACGUUACUGACGCUGAGACGCGAAAGCUAGGGGAGCAAACGGG
rnacentral:rRNA from 1 species